CCGCUGGAACUUAAGCAUAUUACUAGGCGAGGAAAGAAACCAACGGGGAUUCCCAUAGUAACUGCGAGUAAAGGGGAAACCCAGCGCCGAUCCUGCCUGCUGGAGCGGUGGCAGGAACUGUGGCGUGAAGAUGUAUGUACCGGUGUGGCUCGCUCUGCGUAAGUUCUCCUGAGUGAGGCUCCAUCCCAUGGAGGGUGCCAAGGCCCGUGUCUGGUGAGCAGCCGUCGCCGGGUGUGCUAUCAGAGAGUCGCCUUGUUGCGGAGUACGUGAACGUCAGGUGGUUAAACAUCCAUCGAAGGCUAAAUAUGACCACGAGUCCGAUAGCGAACAAAGUAAACCGUGAGG
rnacentral:ncRNA from 1 species